CACCUCCUGUGUGUAUAAAUCCUGCUACCAGGGAGAGCAGCGACCCAGGAGCGGCACAAACAGGACGGGCAAACAGGGGAUGCUCCACUGUGAGAAAGAGACUGACUUGUGCCGGAACAAGAGCGGUCAGGUGGCAUGCUUUGGACCAGCCAUGUCUCUCAAGCCCUUGCUGUUCCCUUGGCUUCUGGCUGCAGGCAAGAUGGAGAGAAGAAACCAGAGAGCUGCCAUGGAGUCAGAAUGAGCAUGUAACUCACCCAGUGACCAAUCCUAAGAGGCUGUUUUGGAGGGAGAGGAGAAGAAGAGUUGGUAAUACGUGUUUAAAAAUUUACCAAAAUUGUUCCCAACUGAGAUGAUUUUCAAAGUCUGAAUUUACCAUACAUGGCGCUUUAACGCUUGCCCUGCCAUCGUGUCUGUGCCAGGGCAGGCCUCCUGAACAUUUGGUUGGAGGUCACAAUUUAAUAUGGCAGAAGCUUUAACUCUUUCCAUGCUCCCAGCCAUCAGUAAGCUGAGUCUGUGAGUAUUUCUGCAAAACGAAACAAAGCUGUAUUUUGCUUCAUAGGAUUUUGGAUAACUGCAUUUGUCUUCAGCACUACUAGCAGGAGGAGAAAUAGUUUGCCAACUACAGCACAAAUUGUGAAGCCUGAGAGGAUAGAGGUGUGAACAUAUUAAUGCUAAAAUACGGUGACUUCUUGAAAGCGAUUGUUGAGAAGGAGAAGAAACAAGGUACAGGCUGUGCUGGAAGAUGUAGAGCAGACUUGUGUUCUGCGUGCUAUAUAAAGAUUAAUCUUCAUACACCGACAGUUUUUCUCAGCAGAACUGACUUUUUUUUUCUUUUGCUAAUGUUAAUGGAAAUGUACUAGCACAAUUUACCAGAGACAUUUACAGCUGUUAAGACGGAGUGAAAUGGAAAGAAUCUGUGAGAAGAAAAACCCAGGAGAUUUGGCACUUGCCUAGGUGACAGGAAGCACAAAUUGAGAGGACGCUGUCUUCUUCAAGGGUCAUUGCAAACUUGGACAAAUUCUGUUGUUUGGGAGCAGUGGUAAAUGUUGUAGGAGUGCUUCUU